GGGCUAUUUAUAAAACAUACAAUAAAUAGUUGCAUUGCAUUAUUAUGGAUCUUAUUUUGGCCUUAUUUGAGGCUGAAAAAAAGAAGGAAAAUAAAAGAAAAUGUGUGAUGGUAACAGUUGGUAAUUCUUUUUACAGGUACUCGUUUCAUUGGCUCCCCUCAAUAGUAUUAGGCUGAGGGGGCUAGAGGUUACAGAAGUCAUAGCCACCAAUGGGGAACAAUGGCACAGAUUUGGGGUGAAGAUAAUAUCCACCCCCUUCAUAUAUUUUAUAAGCAGCCCCCACCUGCG